GACGAACGCUGGCGGCGUGCUUAACACAUGCAAGUCGAACGGAAAGGCCCUGCUUUUGUGGGGUGCUCGAGUGGCGAACGGGUGAGUAACACGUGAGUAACCUGCCCUUGACUUUGGGAUAACUUCAGGAAACUGGGGCUAAUACCGGAUAGGAGCUCCUGCUGCAUGGUGGGGGUUGGAAAGUUUCGGCGGUUGGGGAUGGACUCGCGGCUUAUCAGCUGGUUGGUGGGGUAGUGGCUUACCCAGGCUUUGACGGGUAGCCGGCCUGAGAGGGUGACCGGCCACAUGGGGACUGAGAUACGGCGCAGACUCCUACGGGAGGCAGCAGUGGGGAAUAUUGCACAAUGGGGGGAAGCCUGAUGCAGCAACGCCGCGUGCGGGAUGACGGCCUUCGGGUUGUAAACCGCUUUCGCCUGUGACGAAGCGUGAGUGACGGUAAUGGGUAAAGAAGCACCGGCUAACUACGUG
rnacentral:rRNA from 1 species